GCUGGGCCUGAAGUUCACAAGAUGGGGAAGGUGCUUGACCUACUGCUCCUCCUGCUUGUGUGUUUAAAUUAAAAUGUAGGCUUUCUGUGAAAGUGGUCAAGAACUUCUUGAUGCCUGAAGACCUGCUAAGGAACUAUCCCAGGCUGCCUGAAACGUUGAAGUUUGCCUCCAGUGAUCUUUCAGCUCAAAAACAACAACGUGUCACUUGAAACCUGUGCUUAAAUUGGUUCGAGUCGGCAUGACUGAUCAACGGUGUGUGAGAAUACAAACGUGGGUUCUCCUGGUGGACUGCUGUGCAGGAUUUCCGAUUAAGACCUCGGUGACUUAGGAACCCAGCUCACCUUUGAAGAUGU
rnacentral:lncRNA from 1 species